rnacentral:tRNA from 1 species
AUUUAAAUAGUUUAUUAAAAAUAUCGAUUUGUGGUGUCGAAGAUGUUUAUUAACUUUAAAUU